GUUGUUGUUUAUGUAAGAAUUUCAAGGCCACAACUCCAUAUUUGAAGUAAAGUGCUCAUAAAAUUAAUUGCAAGACUUCUGAAGAGAGAUUUGCUAGGAAAAAUAAAAAGAUAUAUAAAUUUCAGUGAUGCUGAAGUAGGUGUAGUCCUUCCUUAGCCUGCUUUUUAAUGAGUGCUGCUAAAGCCCUUAGCCUGCCUGUUUACCCUUGGAGUGGAGCAAUGAACUGAAGAUAUUUGAGUGAGUUCAAGAGAGACUCAGAAGAGAAGAAUUGGAGGCAGCAAACAUAGACAGCACUUUUAAUGCUUUUCUCAUAUGCUGUAAGACAUGAAAGCAAUCUAUUGGGAUGAAAGCUGAAAGGAGAAGCGGGACAAGAGAAGUGAAUCCGUGGAAGACCCCCAAAAGAGGCUGCAGAUUCUUAGUGGACAGCUCUCAUAUCCCCUCCAGGGAAAAUGAUGAAAAAUGUCUUCAGAAAAAUAGCUUUAUGAAGGCAAGAGGACUUUUUGCACCUGCAAGACAUGUCUGAAAGGUCAAAACACAAGUAGUCAAGAGAUUUGUCCAUCUAAUUCAUCAUACUACUCUGAUCCAAGUGAGACCCACACUGGGUCAGCUCCAUCAAGGAGAAGAACAUUCCACCCACGUUUGGAUUCUGGAAUAUCAUCCUUGCUUCCAUCAGAUUCUUGUAAGUACCUCACUUGGCACAAGGUAGACAUGACGUUCAAGGAAGUCAACUGCGUUGCCCAAGAGUAAGAGAAGGAAUCUCUGAAGAAGAGCAACUUUUCAGACAGGUAGAGUGUGCCUUGCUCCCAAGGAAAAGAGUUCUUGAAAAAAACAAAUGGGAAACAUGGCUACAAGAAAACUGGGAAGACUGCAAGAAUUUGAACAUUUCAUUUCAGGGUUUGGGGGAUCCUUACCAAGUUGAAAAUUUUAACAGAAUUCUUAGAAGACUAAUUCGAGUUGAAACCCUCUGGUUAGUGGAUAAUUCACUGGUGGACUUAAGUGCCAUAAGAUUGCCAAGAGUAUUCUCCUGUUUGCCAAACUUAAAAAUGCUGGAUGGAAUCUUGAAGCUACCAGAAGAUUGCUUAUCACCAGAAACCAAUAUUUUUUCAAAAAUAUGCCUUGUAUCCUAAUGCAGUCUGUAUAGAAAGAAAGCAAUCAUCAUUGUUGCUAAAAGCUAAUAAACACAGGACAUGCAUGAUUAAAUAUUGCAGUUUAUUUUAUAUCUUUUUGCUUUUCUAAAUCAAGGUAGGAAAAUAUUUUCUGUAAAGGACCAGAUGGUAAACAUUUCAGGCUUUCUGGGCUAUAUGGUCUCUGUCACAACUACUCAACCCUGCCAUUGUAGUGCAAAAGCAGCCAUUGAUAAUAUGUAAAUGUAUGGGUGUGUCUGUGUCUCAGUAAAACUUUAUUUACAAAA
ensembl:lncRNA LRRC77P leucine rich repeat containing 77, pseudogene